rnacentral:rRNA from 1 species
CCUACGGGGGGCUGCAGUGGGGAAUAUUGGACAAUGGGGGCAACCCUGAUCCAGCCAUGCCGCGUGUGUGAAGAAGGCCCUCGGGUUGUAAAGCACUUUCAGUGAGGAAGAACGCCUGGUGGUUAAUACCCAUCAGGAAAGACAUCACUCACAGAAGAAGCACCGGCUAACUCCGUGCCAGCAGCCGCGGUAAUACGGAGGGUGCGAGCGUUAAUCGGAAUUACUGGGCGUAAAGCGCGCGUAGGUGGCUUGAUAAGCCGGUUGUGAAAGCCCCGGACUCAACCUGGGAACGGCAUCCGGAACUGUCAAGCUAGAGUGCAGGAGAGGAAGGUAGAAUUCCCGGUGUAGCGGUGAAAUGCGUAGAGAUCGGGAGGAAUACCAGUGGCGAAGGCGGCCUUCUGGACUGACACUGACACUGAGGUGCGAAAGCGUGGGUAGCAAACAGGAUUAGAUACCCGUGUAGUC